rfam:Ardenticatena maritima DNA, contig: NODE_4, strain: 110S.
GGGGAUGAAUGGUCUCGACGGGGAGGGCAGCCCAGGGGCUGCAGGCAGAGGCGCCCGACCUCUUAAAAACGGGCACAUAAAGAUAACUGGCGAACCUCAACUCGCCCUCGCCGCCUAAUCGCGGCGACGUCUGCCAGCACCCCACCCCGGCGGGUGCUGAGCAGGCGACACAAAGCCGGGGUGCCGUUGGGCUGGUGCCGCGAGGCCCAACGAAAGAUCGAGCGGCUGGCGGCGUGGUAGCCUUGCCCGGUUGGGCAGCCACGACCGCGACUAUCAAACAACCGGGCUAAGCCUGUAGAUGCCUCUGGGUCAACUCUCCGGACGCGGGUUCGAUUCCCGCCAUCUCCACCU